GAUGAACGCUGGCGGCGUGCCUAAUACAUGCAAGUCGAGCGAACGGACGAGAAGCUUGCUUCUCUGAUGUUAGCGGCGGACGGGUGAGUAACACGUGGAUAACCUACCUAUAAGACUGGGAUAACUUCGGGAAACCGGAGCUAAUACCGGAUAAUAUUUUGAACCGCAUGGUUCAAAAGUGAAAGACGGUCUUGCUGUCACUUAUAGAUGGAUCCGCGCUGCAUUAGCUAGUUGGUAAGGUAACGGCUUACCAAGGCAACGAUGCAUAGCCGACCUGAGGGGGUGAUCGGCCACACUGGAACUGAGCCACGGUCCAGACUCCUACGGGAGGCAGCAGUAGGGAAUCUUCCGCAAUGGGCGAAAGCCUGACGGAGCAACGCCGCGUGAGUGAUGAAGGUCUUCGGAUCGUAAAACUCUGUUAUUAGGGAAGAACAUAUGUGUAAGUAACUGUGCACAUCUUGACGGUACCUAAUCAGAAAGCCACGGCUAACUACGUG
rnacentral:rRNA from 1 species